rnacentral:lncRNA from 1 species
CUGUCUGCAGGGCUUCUUGAAUUUAACUCCAAUUCGGUUUCCACCCAAGCAGGCACUUAACAUCUCUAGGAGGAACACCUGCAUCAUCUUGGGAUUUCAUCCUGUGACAAGGAGUGUCAGCAGCAAUAAGCCUCCAACAAGGAAACUCCUGUUCUCCCAAUUCUAUUGGAAGGCUGCAUGAUUCCUGUAGCAUGAGAAGAAGGCCGUCAUGUCUGGCUUCUUACUGGUAAUCUAGCCACUGUUUCAUUUCAACUGCACAGCCUUCUUUUUGUGGAGGGGUAUGAAAUCCCUAAGGAUACAAAGGGACCUUCAGGAUUCCCCAGGCCUGCCUGAUGGGUGAGUCUUUUUGAAAGUUGCCCCUCUGUGAUUUCUAGGUACAUCCCCACUGUGUUCCCCGAGUUUACUCUCUCACAGGUGGGGCUUUCUGCAAAACCACACAGACUCAAGAGCUAUCUGGCUGUGUGUUUCUGGGGGAGUGUUGUAAGUGUUAAAUGUCUGUAUGUGUGUGUGUGUGUGGCAUUAUGUGUUUGUGUGUGUGUGCAUGCCUGUAAGUGGAGCUGGCUUAAAGAAAUGUGGCUAACGCACUUCAACACUUCUUUUUCAUGUGUCUACCAAUUUUUUUGUAACCUAUCUGUGUGGCUCUGCUUGGGCUGUGGGGCUCUGUUUUUUUUAUUUUUCUGUGGAUUAUGAAUACGCAGUGAAUUGGAAGGCUUGCAGAGACUCGUUGGAGUCCAUAUCAACUCCUACUGCAAAAAAAA